rnacentral:rRNA from 1 species
GAUGAACGCUGGCGGCGUGCCUAAUACAUGCAAGUUGAGCGCAGAGAGGAGGUGCUUGUUCCUCUGACGUUAGCGGCGGACGGGUGAGUAACACGUGGAGAAUCUGCCUAUAAGAGGGGGAUAACAUCGGGAAACGGGAGCUAAUACCGGAUAAAAAAUUGAAACACAAGGUUUAAGAGUGAAAGAUGGAAUUGCAGUAACCAAUAGAGAGAUCGCGUUGGAAUAGCUAGUUUGUGAGGGAAAGGGCCAACAAAGCGAUGAUACAUCAGCGACCUGAGAGGGUGGUCGGCCACAUUGGGACUGAGACACGGCCCAAACUCCCACGGGGGGCAGCAGUAGGGAAUCUUCCGCCAUUGACGGAAGUCUGACCGGGCCACGCCGCGUGAGUGAAGAAGGUUUUCGGAUCCUAAAACUCUGUUUGUAGGGAAGAACGUUGGUGAGAGUUGAAAGCUCACCUCUUGACGGUACCUACCCAGAAAGCCACGGCUAACUACGUG